CCUACGGGAGGCAGCAGUGAGGAAUAUUGGUCAAUGGACGAGAGUCUGAACCAGCCAAGUAGCGUGAAGGAUGACUGCCCUAUGGGUUGUAAACUUCUUUUAUAUGGGAAUAAAAUGUUCCACGUGUGGGAUUUUGUAUGUACCAUAUGAAUAAGGAUCGGCUAACUCCGUGCCAGCAGCCGCGGUAAUACGGAGGAUCCGAGCGUUAUCCGGAUUUAUUGGGUUUAAAGGGAGCGUAGGUGGAUUGUUAAGUCAGUUGUGAAAGUUUGCGGCUCAACCGUAAAAUUGCAGUUGAAACUGACAGUCUUGAGUACAGUAGAGGUGGGCGGAAUUCGUGGUGUAGCGGUGAAAUGCUUAGAUAUCACGAAGAACUCCGAUUGCGAAGGCAGUUCACUGGACUGCAACUGACACUGAGGCUCGAAAGUGUGGGUAUCAAACAGGAUUAGAUACCCCAGUAGUC
rnacentral:rRNA from 1 species